rnacentral:rRNA from 1 species
GACGAACGCUGGCGGCGUGCUUAACACAUGCAAGUCGAACGGUAAGGCCUUUCGGGGUACACGAGUGGCGAACGGGUGAGUAACACGUGGGUGAUCUGCCCUGCACUUCGGGAUAAGCCCGGGAAACUAGGUCUAAUACCGGAUAGGACUGCGCGGUGCAUGCCGUGUGGUGGAAAGAUUUAUCGGUGCAGGAUGGGCCCGCGGCCUAUCAGCUUGUUGGUGGGGUAAUGGCCUACCAAGGCGACGACGGGUAGCCGGCCUGAGAGGGCGACCGGCCACACUGGGACUGAGACACGGCCCAGACUCCUACGGGAGGCAGCAGUGGGGAAUAUUGCACAAUGGGCGCAAGCCUGAUGCAGCGACGCCGCGUGAGGGAUGACGGCCUUCGGGUUGUAAACCUCUUUCAGCAGGGACGAAGCGUGAGUGACGGUACCUGCAGAAGAAGCACCGGCCAACUACGUG